rnacentral:rRNA from 1 species
CGCAGCCGCGGUAAUUCCAGCUCCAAUAGCGUAUAUUAAAGUUGUUGCAGUUAAAAAGCUCGUAGUUGAAUUUCGGGAUCAAUAUGUCGGUCGUGCCUUGGUACGUACUGGUAUCAUUGGUCUCUCCUUUCUGACGAACCAUGAUGUCAUUAAUUUGGUGUUAUGGGAAGUUAGGACUGUUACUUUGAAAAAAUUAGAGUGUUUAAAGCAGGCUCACGCUUGAAUACAUUAGCAUGGAAUAAUGAAAUAGGACGUUUGAUUCUAUUUUGUUGGUUUCUAGGAUCGACGUAAUGAUUAAUAGGGAUAGUUGGGGGCAUUAGUAUUCAAUUGUCAGAGGUGAAAUUCUUGGAUUUAUUGAAGACUAACUACUGCGAAAGCAUUUGCCAAGGAUGUUUUCAUUAAUCAAGAACGAAAGUUAGGGGAUCGAAGACGAUCAGAUACCGUCGUAGUCUUAACCAUAAACUAUGCCGACUAGGGAUCGGAUGAUGU